GAUGAACGCUGGCGGCGUGCCUAAUACAUGCAAGUCGAGCGAACAGACGAGGAGCUUGCUCCUCUGACGUUAGCGGCGGACGGGUGAGAAACACGUGGAUAACCUACCUAUAUGUCUGGGAUAACUUCGGGAAACCGGCGCUAAUACCGGAUAAUAUCUUGAACCGCAUGGUUGAAUAGAGAAUGACGGUGUUUCUGUCUCUUAUAGAUGGUUCCGCGCCGCAUUAGCUAGUUGGUAAGGUAACGGCUUACCAAGGCAACUAGGCGUAUCCGACCUGUGGGGGUGAUCGGCCACACUGGAGCGGAGACACGGUCCAGGCUCCUACGAGAGGCAGCAGAAGGGUAUCGUCCGCAGUGGGGGAGAGCCUGGCGGAGCAGCGCCACGUGUGAUGUGAAGGUGUUCGGAUCGUAAUACUCUCUUAUUGGUGAAAAACCAAUUUGGAAGUAACUAUGCACGUCUUGACGGUACCGAGUAAGAAAGCCACGGCUAACUACGUG
rnacentral:rRNA from 1 species